UUGAGAUGUAUCCUGUGGCUCUGGUAAUUGGUGCAGUUUCCAGAGUCAUUUGUAUGGACACUGUGUAAUGCAGAGUUCGGGGGAGAAAGCUCCACAGUCCUCCUGUGCUUGUAGUAGGAGUGCAGUAGAAGAGGAGAUGAAGGACUUCCAACUGGAGAGAAAAUGAGACGCAGAGAGAUCAGAGAUCAGAGUGAGAACUGCCGGGGGUCAGAGCCGCAGCUCAGCCCCAUGAAUACCUGCAUCAGGUGUGAGCUGCACAUUGUCAGGUACCAGGUUAUUUGACCACUUGAAAUAGACCCACCACUGCUCCUGUACCUGCGUGCUGGAUUCCUGGUACUUCAGAGAUGCUAGUGGCAGCUCUUGGAUAUCAUCUUAUGGCUUCAAGCUUAUGAUCUAAGAUCGACAGAAUUUUCUUCAUGCAAAAUCUUGGUAGGAAAUCUUGGCAUGUGUAGC